rnacentral:rRNA from 1 species
CCUACGGGAGGCAGCAGUAGGGAAUAUUGCUCAAUGGGGGAAACCCUGAAGCAGCAACGCCGCGUGGAGGAUGAAGGUUUUCGGAUUGUAAACUCCUUUUGUUAGAGAAGAUAAUGACGGUAUCUAACGAAUAAGCACCGGCUAACUCCGUGCCAGCAGCCGCGGUAAUACGGAGGGUGCAAGCGUUACUCGGAAACACUGGGCGUAAGGAGCGCGUAGGCGGGAUAGCAAGUCAGAUGUGAAAUCCUAUGGCUUAACCAUAGAACUGCAUUUGAAACUGUUAUUCUAGAGUAUGGGAGAGGUAGGUGGAAUUCUUGGUGUAGGGGUAAAAUCCGUAGAGAUCAAGAGGAAUACUCAUUGCGAAGGCGACCUGCUAGAACAUAACUGACGCUGAUGCGCGAAAGCGUGGGGAGCAAACAGGAUUAGAUACCCCAGUAGUC